rnacentral:rRNA from 1 species
GAUGAACGCUAGCGGGAGGCUUAACACAUGCAAGUCGAGGGGUAAGAGGGGUAGUAAUACUUCUCUGAGACCGGCGCACGGGUGAGUAACGCGUAUGCAACCUGCCCUUUACAGGGGGAUAGCCCGGAGAAAUCCGGAUUAAUACCCCAUGGACCUGUAACCUCGCAUGGGGAGACAGGUAAAGUCGCGAGGCGGUAGAGGAUGGGCAUGCGUGACAUUAGCUUGUUGGUGGGGUAACGGCCCACCAAGGCUGCGAUGUCUAGGGGUUCUGAGAGGAAGGUCCCCCACACUGGUACUGAGACACGGACCAGACUCCUACGGGUGGCAG